rnacentral:rRNA from 1 species
CGAAAGAAAAGGAGUGGCGAACGGGUGAGUAACACGUGGGUAACCUGCCCAUCAGAAGGGGAUAACACUUGGAAACAGGUGCUAAUACCGUAUAACAGUAGAAACCGCAUGGUUUCUAUUUGAAAGGCGCUUUUGCGUCACUGAUGGAUGGACCCGCGGUGCAUUAGCUAGUUGGUGAGGUAACGGCUCACCAAGGCAACGAUGCAUAGCCGACCUGAGAGGGUGAUCGGCCACAUUGGGACUGAGACACGGCCCAAACUCCUACGGGAGGCAGCAGUAGGGAAUCUUCGGCAAUGGACGAAAGUCUGACCGAGCAACGCCGCGUGAGUGAAGAAGGUUUUCGGAUCGUAAAACUCUGUUGUUAGAGAAGAACAAGGAUGAGAGUAAAACGUUCAUCCCUUGACGGUAUCUAACCAGAAAGCCACGGCUAACUACGUGCCAGCAGCCGCGGUAAUACGUAGGUGGCAAGCGUUGUCCGGAUUUAUUGGGCGUAAAGCGAGCGCAGGCGGUUUCUUAAGUCUGAUGUGAAAGCCCCCGGCUCAACCGGGGAGGGUCAUUGGAAACUGGGAAACUUGAGUGCAGAAGAGGAGAGUGGAAUUCCAUGUGUAGCGGUGAAAUGCGUAGAUAUAUGGAGGAACACCAGUGGCGAAGGCGGCUCUCUGGUCUGUAACUGACGCUGAGGCUCGAAAGCGUGGGGAGCAAACAGGAUUAGAUACCCUGGUAGUCCACGCCGUAAACGAUGAGUGCUAAGUGUUGGAGGGUUUCCGCCCUUCAGUGCUGCAGCUAACGCAUUAAGCACUCCGCCUGGGGAGUACGACCGCAAGGUUGAAACUCAAAGGAAUUGACGGGGGCCCGCACAAGCGGUGGAGCAUGUGGUUUAAUUCGAAGCAACGCGAAGAACCUUACCAGGUCUUGACAUCCUUUGACCACUCUAGAGAUAGAGCUUCCCCUUCGGGGGCAAA